rnacentral:rRNA from 1 species
CACUCUAGAGAGACUGCCAGGGAUAACCUGGAGGAAGGUGGGGAUGACGUCAAAUCAUCAUGCCCCUUAUGCUUAGGGCUACACACGUGCUACAAUGGGUAGUACAGAGGGUUGCCAAGCCGUAAGGUGGAGCUAAUCCCUUAAAGCUACUCUCAGUUCGGAUUGUAGGCUGAAACUCGCCUACAUGAAGCUGGAGUUACUAGUAAGCGCAGAUCAGAAUGCUGCGGUGAAUGCGUUCCCGGGUCUUGUACACACCGCCCGUCACACCACGGGAGUUGGAGACGCCCGAAGCCGAUUAUCUAACCUUUUGGAAGAAGUCGUCGAAGGUGGAAUUAAUAACUGGGGUGAAGUCGUAACAAGGUAGCCGUAUCGGAAGGUGCGGCUGGAUCACCUCCUUUCUAAGGAGA